GUUCUAAUACAGCAAACUUGCAGCCUGCCAUGUGGAGAUGUCGUCUCCAGAGCAAAGGUUUGAAGUUCCUUGAGGCAAAGAGUUGUAUCUUUCUGUUUCUAAAGAACCAUACACACCUAUGGCACUAUAUACAUCGAGGACGGAACCCAGAAGUGAAUCGGCCAAACAGGACAACCAUACAAAUACAGCGACCUGCGAGGUUGGCCUCUCUAUGGACACACAGUAAGGAACUGGCCCCACCCCUGAGGCUGAAUCUCCAGACCAGCACUGAACAUUGGUGUGGCACUGCAGGCGCUGAGCCGUGGUCCAGAGCACAGACACUCAGAGCUCACUCGACACCAGGCCAGACCUAUCAGUCCCCAUUGUUAGCACUGCUUUUCCCAGCCGUACAAACAGCCCAGAGUCAUCGUGCAGGGAGUCAGAAAUGACAACAAUUCCAUGUGUGCCAUUUCCGGUCACCCUUCCGCCCCCUCAGUUCCUCCCUCCCACCUUCUCUGUCUUUUGCAGAAUAGACAUCUAAACCCUAAUAUAUCUAUCACAGAGGAGAUAAGUCAUGUAUAGUUCUCCAGAAAAAACUUAAUACUUGGAAAUACUGGGAACUGUUCUAAUAGGAUUUGAGUAUUAGAAGCUAUUUGUUUGGGCAGGAAAAAGAAUCCUGAGGCGGAUUCAGCUGUCAGGGUUUCUUGCUUUGCUUGACUCCUGCCCCAGCUGAGCAAGUGCUGUUUCCGAUAAGGACACUAAAUAAGGGAGCUCAGAGCUCAUCAGCUGAUCAGUAGCUCUUCUGGAGUUAAGGUCUCAGUGUCAAGCGCGGCAAUUUCUGACAAUGCACUUAAACACAGCCAAGCUGGCUCGUGACUGGUGCCAGGCAAGCACACCCUACCAGGCACCCAUGCUGCGUGCCAACUGCAUGCACACUAAGCAGGCCGGCUGCACUUGAUGUCAGCUGCAGAAUUCUUACACUGUUUAAUUAGUUGAGUGACUGUGCUUUGCCCAGUAAAAUCAUCGCCCCCUCACCCCCAGAAGCGCCAUGCAGUGGAAAUUUAUGAUCAUAAUUUAGAGGCUGAAUUACCUCUGUCAGUACCUGUUCCAUGUGAAUUACUCAGUCAUAUUAAAUUCAACUGUUGAUUUUGCUGGGUUCUAUGAAGCGGGAACACUUCGAGCCAAUGAAAUAAUGGAUGAGAAAGAAUUAUAGUCACAAUAGCCACAUUAGCUGUUUAAAAUGUUCUGUGCAGCCCAUUUGUUGGCUGGCAGUGUAUGAUAUCGGCACCCACCUACUCCUACCAGCCAAAGUCUCAUUUAUUGCCACAUCCGCUCAAGAGUGGCAUACUUUAGUCUAAUAAACAUGCCAUGCUGAGCCCAGCAAGGAGCAUUUGUGCAGUUAAAUACAAUCAGUAAAUAUCCUUCCUCGCCUUAUUUUCUGCUGGAUUUCAUUGUAGCAGUCAUCACAGCAAUACAUGCUAUAGGCAGGGCUUCAUGCUGUCUGCUAUUCCAUAGUGACAAAACAGGAAGUGGAAUCCACCACCUUGCUGCAGAAUUUAACUCCAGAAUGAAUAUUUUCUUUUUAAAAUAUUAUGUUUCUAGGCUUUAUGUUUGCAA